UACGUAGGGUGCAAGCGUUGUCCGGAAUUACUGGGCGUAAAGCGUGCGCAGGCGGCUCAUUGCGCCCGGCGUGAAAGCCCCCGGCUCAACCGGGGAGGGUCGUCGGGGACGGGUGAGCUUGAGGGUAUCAGGGGCUGGUGGAAUUCCCGGUGUAGUGGUGAAAUGCGUAGAGAUCGGGAGGAACACCCGUGGCGAAGGCGGCCAGCUGGGAUACACCUGACGCUGAGGCACGAAGGCGUGGGGAGCGAACGGG
rnacentral:rRNA from 1 species